CCUUGGUAGAGCAGUUAAUGUAGUGCUUGAUAGAGAUGGGGUCAAAUUGUAAGGGUACCAAAUUAGUCUUAGUGACAUACUGGCAUGCCUGGCAAUGUCCGCAUUUAAAGCACCCCUUCAUAGGUGCCAUCCGGCCUAUCCCGGCCCGUAGAGUCAUCUUUGUACCAGCAUGUCACCAAGACUGCGUCCCCGCCUAUAGGUGAUCUGAGGCGAGUCACCAGCAAUGUCUCGCAGGAACGGAAGUGAGGUCAGACGCCACUAUCUUGCUGCAUCCUGUGAGUGAGCCGGUGAUCCCUUGCUCCCUGCUUCACACAGGUCUUAAGGUCUUACCUCCCCGUCUUCUUGCCCAUCUGUAGAAAGGUGGAUGCGAAUAUGACCGUCAUCUGAAUAUUAUGUUGUGACCAUUUGGAGUUGUGUUUUUCUCCCACAGGACUUCAUUAUUAUGCAAUCUGUGUUAUUCCUAGCCUGUGCAUUUAUGGCUUAGAGACAAAACUUGCUUGCAGGUCCUCGUGGUCACACACAUACAUUAUGCCACCAUAGUUGUGGCAAAAGGUCUUACCUGUAUUAUUAUGUACCUCCCUCAUGAUGCCAUCAUAAAAUCUGGUGGUAGA